rnacentral:sRNA from 1 species
CCCUAGCCCCGAUAGAAGUGGAAAUCCUUUUGUGCCGGGGUUCGGCACAAAAGAUUGAAACGGAUAGCGGGAAACAGC